UGGGGAAUUUUUGACAAUGGGGGCAACCCUGAUCCAGCAAUGCCGCGUGUGUGAAGAAGGCCUUCGGGUUGUAAAGCACUUUUGUCCGGGAAGAAAUCGCACCUGAUAAUACCGGGUGUGGAUGACGGUACCGGAAGAAUAAGGACCGGCUAACUACGUGCCAGCAGCCGCGGUAAUACGUAGGGUCCAAGCGUUAAUCGGAAUUACUGGGCGUAAAGCGUGCGCAGGCGGUUGUGCAAGACCGAUGUGAAAUCCCCGGGCUUAACCUGGGAAUUGAAUUGGUGAGUGCACGGCUAGAGUGUGUCAGAGGGGUGUAGAAUUCCACGUGUAGCAGUGAAAUGCGUAGAGAUGUGGAGGAAUACCGAUGGCGAAGGCAGCCCCCUGGGAUAACACUGACGCUCAUGCACGAAAGCGUGGGGAGCAAACAGG
rnacentral:rRNA from 1 species